rnacentral:rRNA from 1 species
UACGUAGGGGGCAAGCGUUGUCCGGAUUUAUUGGGCGUAAAGAGCGUGUAGGCGGCUUGGUAGGUCUCGCGUCAAAACCUGAGGCUCAACCUCAGUUCGCGUGGGAAACCACCAGCUAGAGUCCGGAAGAGGAGAACGGAAUUCCCAGUGUAGCGGUGAAAUGCGCAGAUAUUGGGAAGAACACCAGUGGCGAAGGCGGUUCUCUGGGACGGUACUGACGCUGAGACGCGAAAGCGUGGGGAGCGAACAGG